rnacentral:rRNA from 1 species
GGUUAAGCGACUAAGCGUACACGGUGGAUGCCCUGGCAGUCAGAGGCGAUGAAGGACGUGCUAAUCUGCGAUAAGCGUCGGUAAGGUGAUAUGAACCGUUAUAACCGGCGAUUUCCGAAUGGGGAAACCCAGUGUGAUUCGUCACACUAUCAUUAACUGAAUCCAUAGGUUAAUGAGGCGAACCGGGGGAACUGAAACAUCUAAGUACCCCGAGGAAAAGAAAUCAACCGAGAUUCCCCCAGUAGCGGCGAGCGAACGGGGAGCAGCCCAGAGCCUGAAUCAGUGUGUGUGUUAGUGGAAGCGUCUGGAAAGGCGCGCGAUACAGGGUGACAGCCCCGUACACAAAAAUGCACAUACUGUGAGCUCGAUGAGUAGGGCGGGACACGUGGUAUCCUGUCUGAAUAUGGGGGGACCAUCCUCCAAGGCUAAAUACUCCUGACUGACCGAUAGUGAACCAGUACCGUGAGGGAAAGGCGAAAAGAACCCCGGCGAGGGGAGUGAAAAAGAACCUGAAACCGUGUACGUACAAGCAGUGGGAGCACGCUUAGGCGUGUGACUGCGUACCUUUUGUAUAAUGGGUCAGCGACUUAUAUUCUGUAGCAAGGUUAACCGAAUAGGGGAGCCGAAGGGAAACCGAGUCUUAACUGGGCGUUAAGUUGCAGGGUAUAGACCCGAAACCCGGUGAUCUAGCCAUGGGCAGGUUGAAGGUUGGGUAACACUAACUGGAGGACCGAACCGACUAAUGUUGAAAAAUUAGCGGAUGACUUGUGGCUGGGGGUGAAAGGCCAAUCAAACCGGGAGAUAGCUGGUUCUCCCCGAAAGCUAUUUAGGUAGCGCCUCGUGAAUUCAUCUCCGGGGGUAGAGCACUGUUUCGGCAAGGGGGUCAUCCCGACUUACCAACCCGAUGCAAACUGCGAAUACCGGAGAAUGUUAUCACGGGAGACACACGGCGGGUGCUAACGUCCGUCGUGAAGAGGGAAACAACCCAGACCGCCAGCUAAGGUCCCAAAGUCAUGGUUAAGUGGGAAACGAUGUGGGAAGGCCCAGACAGCCAGGAUGUUGGCUUAGAAGCAGCCAUCAUUUAAAGAAAGCGUAAUAGCUCACUGGUCGAGUCGGCCUGCGCGGAAGAUGUAACGGGGCUAAACCAUGCACCGAAGCUGCGGCAGCGACGCUGAUGCGUUGUUGGGUAGGGGAGCGUUCUGUAAGCCUGUGAAGGUGUGCUGUGAGGCAUGCUGGAGGUAUCAGAAGUGCGAAUGCUGACAUAAGUAACGAUAAAGCGGGUGAAAAGCCCGCUCGCCGGAAGACCAAGGGUUCCUGUCCAACGUUAAUCGGGGCAGGGUGAGUCGACCCCUAAGGCGAGGCCGAAAGGCGUAGUCGAUGGGAAACAGGUUAAUAUUCCUGUACUUGGUGUUACUGCGAAGGGGGGACGGAGAAGGCUAUGUUGGCCGGGCGACGGUUGUCCCGGUUUAAGCGUGUAGGCUGGUUUUCCAGGCAAAUCCGGAAAAUCAAGGCUGAGGCGUGAUGACGAGGCACUACGGUGCUGAAGCAACAAAUGCCCUGCUUCCAGGAAAAGCCUCUAAGCAUCAGGUAACAUCAAAUCGUACCCCAAACCGACACAGGUGGUCAGGUAGAGAAUACCAAGGCGCUUGAGAGAACUCGGGUGAAGGAACUAGGCAAAAUGGUGCCGUAACUUCGGGAGAAGGCACGCUGAUAUGUAGGUGAAGCGACUUGCUCGUGGAGCUGAAAUCAGUCGAAGAUACCAGCUGGCUGCAACUGUUUAUUAAAAACACAGCACUGUGCAAACAC